GAAAUGCGAUAAGUAAUGUGAAUUGCAGAAUUCAGUGAAUCAUCGAAUCUUUGAACGCACCUUGCGCUCCUUGGUAUUCCUUGGAGCAUGCCUGUUUGAGUAUCAUGAAAUCUUCAAAGUAAAUCUUUUGUUAACUCAAUUGGUUUCUACUUUGGUAUUGGAGGUCUUUGCAGCUUCACACCUGCUCCUCUUUGUUCAUUAGCUGGAUCUCAGUGUUAUGCUUGGUUCCACUCGGCGUGAUAAGUUAUCUAUCGCUGAGGACACUGUAAAAGGUGGCCAAGGUAAAUGCAGAUGAACCGCUUCUGAUAGUCCAUUGACUUGGACAAUACUUUUAUGAUCUGAUCUCAAAACAGGUAGGACUACCCGCUGAACUUAAGC
rnacentral:misc_RNA from 1 species